CUUUCGCGAGUUCCGGAACCUAAUGACCGCUACACUGCAGGAACCACCCUGAGGCACCGAGGCGUCUUCCGCAAGGUUCAAGUUGCUUAUGGGUGACUAAAACAGAAAAAAGUGAAACUGUGGAUAAGGGGACUUCCAUAAAGUAAGGCAAAGGUCAUCACUUAGCCAUCCAUGAGACCUCAGUGGUUCAUCCAGGGUAGCAUUGAAGACGUGAUAUUGCUCAUCCCCCAAGCACUGUCAGAUCUAUGAGAGUGUUGGUAACUGCCUUCCCUACUUUCACUCAGUGUGGAAACCAUAUGGGUACAGAAUCUGAACGUGCCCGUACAUUUAUUUCAUAAGAAUGAAAUAUCUUCCUCUCUUUCUGGUUUAAUGAUGUUUAGUUCUCAUCCUAUGAUCAUGGAAGAGUGCCAAGAGACUAUCAGCUAAUAGAUGAUCUACAAUAUAUCUUGUAUAUUUAUGAUCUUAGUAAGUGUGUUACUAAUGAAAAGAGUGCAAGGAUAUACACCCAUAACUGUGAGACAAGUGAAAGUACAGAGAAGAGAAAUACCAAGACAGUUAUUUGGGAACCAAGAAGACAGUUAUUUGUGAAGCAACCAGAGUUCAAAGGGCAGAGCAGAUAGAGAUUGGAGGAGCUGGCAAGAUGGCAGCUGUGUGAUUCUGGAUGCACCAAGAGGGCAAUGUUGAGAAAGAUUAAAUAUACAAAGACUUCACUAGGUAAACUACAUGUAUGAAAGGAAAGAGAAAGAAGGGAGAUCCUUCAGGCCAUGGAACAAAUUUGACUGUGAAUGAGAAAGAAAGGGAGAGAAGGUUGAGUGGAAACAUCUAAAACUUCUGGCCAUGGAGGAACCAGUAUGGAAUCACUGUGACAAAUUCAGCCAACAGUCUCAAGUGUCCCUGGAACAAGUCUACCUCAGUCUCUCCAUUACACUUAGGUAUUGGCAGUAAGCAGCUCUUGGGCGUCAGAGGUGAUUUUAAUGCAUAGAGCCUGGGGUGCCAUCAGUUAAGUUCCAUAUAGUAGUAGAAAGAUCUAUAAGGUAAAUUGACAAAGCUCUCACAUUGGCUUAACCAAGAAUAUAGAUAGAAGAGCUCACCAGAACGCAAGCUAUUGGCAAGUACAGGGAUCAGAAAAAAGCAAAUGUAGAAAUCAGCUCUGAGGAUCAGUGGAAAAUAAGUGGAUUCCAUUGCCACAGAUGUUAUUUUUAUCCUGUGAACUGGAAGAAGAGGUCAGUUUCAUGCCGAUCUCCUGAGGGAAGACAUCUUGUGAAGAGCAUCUCAUUUUUUAAAAAAACCUAUUCUUUAUCUGAUAAAUAUGGCAGGCUUCCUGCUUAAGCUUGCAUGAUAGAUGAGCAUACUGGCAGUGGCUGAGACAGAAGGGAUGGCUCAGAUUGUGGAAGCCCAAGUGACUAAAACACUAGAGGAAACAGAAGGCAUCAUUAAACACUACAACCUCCUCUGAAAAUAGAAGGUAUAUAUAUAUAUAAAGAAAUUUGGUUCCUGAGAACCAUGUCUACCCUAUUUUUAAAGCCAAGGGAGAUUGGAUUGAAAAGGAAUACUGAGAAGUGAAGCAAAGGCCUCACUGUGCCUUCCUUAAAACACUGGUCGAUUCCAAAAGAAUUGGAAAAUGCAAAAAAUCUGUUGUACGUCAGCUGAAAUAAUCAUGUGUGUUCUUAAAACACAAGAUAUAGACACUGUCUCAGUUACUGUGGUAGACUGACAACUGCUGGUCAAUCUGAAACACCCCACUGAACUGAAUCGUUGUGGUGUUGGGUGUGGAUGGCCCCCUCAGGAUUGCUGCCAUCAACAUAAAUAGGAGAACUGGAGAGGAGGAAGUGUGAUGUUGCUGGUUCUCCUGUUGUGGUUGGUUUUUCUGGAGGAGGUUGUUGAACUUUUUUCCUGUUAUGAACUUGGUUCUUCUCAUUGCCAGAGAGGCUCAGAACCUUGUUAUCACUGAGAAUGGCUUCAGUUCACUUUGGGGGAGCUCUUCUUACUCUGAGCAUCACCUCCUGGCUCCAGUGCAGAACACUUAGCCUACUGGCACAGAUCCUUCAACCCAUAGGCACAGACUUUGUAGUUUCCACUGCUGACUUUUGGGCCUUGUCAGCACAUACCUGGUAAACCAAUUUGCAUGUGACACUGUCGUGGGCUCUAGGACUCCAGAUGGACUUGUGAGAGCCAUUGUCAUUGGCUCCAGGUUUCCAUCUGGACUCAUGCAGGAUACUGUCAUGGGAUCCAGGGCCUCAGCUGGAUAUUUUGGAUCUUCAGUGUGUGGACAGAUUUCCUGAACAUUUUGUGUUUGAUUUCUUGGGUGACUACUAUAAAAUAAUCAAGAUCCCAGAAAUUCAACAUAAGAUCAGAAUAUUAAAAGCUGUUAGAAAAAAGAAGCAUGUAUAAAGGAAAACCUAUCAGCAUCACCACAGACUUCUCAACACAAACCAUUUAAUUAAGAAGAGCUGGGAAUAAAGUAUUUCAAGUCCUGAAAGGAAACAACUUCCAACCCAGAUUCAUGUAUCAUGCAAAACUAUCUUUCAAAAUUAAUGGAGAAACAAGAUACUUACAUGACAAAAAACAACUGAAGGAAUUCAUGACCACCAAACCAACCAUGUAAAAAAUACUGAAGAACAUUCUAGAGAGAGAUAAAAAUAGACCAUGGUUCCAGGAACAGAGAAGACAGUAGAAUGGAUGGGGAAAAUUAGGCAGUGAAUAGCACAAAAAUAGCAUGGCAGAGAUGAGCCAGUGCCUGUUGACCAUAACUAUUAAUACAUAUGACCUUAAUUCUCCAAUAAAAAGAAACACAGGCAGCGUGGAUCAGGAGACAAGAUCCAGCAAUAUGCUUUACACAAGAAAUGCAUUUGACUUGAAAGGGGGUUCAUAGACUGAAAGUCAAAGGGGAGAGAACAAUACUCUGUGAGACAGAGACCCCGAAAGAAAUGUAAGUAGCUUGCCCAUCGGCUGCAGACUGCAUAAGAAAGCCAUGGCACUUUUAUACAGUGGAAAGCUACUAAGCCAUAAAGACAGAUAACCCUGAGGCUCUUUGUAGGUAAAUGGAUACUACUUGAGAUCAUACUCAUAAAUGCAAUGGUUCAGAGUCACAUGGGUGAAUAUUGUGUUGUCUCCCUAGUAUGAAGAACUAGAGGAGUUGGUGGGAUCCAAAAUGCACAGUACAUACUGUAAAAGUGAACAGGGAAGAAGUACCUAAAGAAAGAACUCAGUAGUCAUUCUAAAUCUAUUAUGGUGAUUUGAAACCCAUAUUUUUCUCAUUGUUCUAUUUAGUUUGGUAUUUUUCUGUUUUGGUUUGUCUAAUCUUAUUGUAUUUAAUGGUAUGGACAGCUAUUUCAAAGAUAACAAAAUAUAUUAUGGUAGCUAUUAUUGAUUUCCUAUUAGCAUGUUUGGAAGCCCUGUAUAGCUUUCAUUGUUUUGUUUUGACUGCUUUUAUUAUAUUUUGUUUUGUUUGAUUGUAUCAUGUCUGAUGGUAUAGGCAACUACUUUGAAGAUAACAAGUUGCAGUAUGGUACCCACUAUGGGUUCCCUAUUAUUUUGUUUUGAAGUCCGGUACUGCUUCCAUUGUUUUGUUUUUAUUGGUUUUCUUCUGUACUCUUUUGUUGUAUUUUAUUAUGCCUGAUGUUAUGGGCAAUUCUUUUGAUGAUACCAAGAGGCAUUACAAUAGCCUUUAUUGAUUUUCUUGUAUUUUGUUUUAAAAUCAUGUACCAUGUUCA